GGAUGCUGGGCAAUAUAGUCCAGCUGUGUGGCUAGCAGGAAAAUGAAAGGGGUUUGGUGAAUCCAUUGUACCUGCCAUCACCCAGACUAAAUACCUGCUUUCUCAUCCACUGUCAGGGAUUGAGUGGGCAAGUACUGUGGGCUACAGACACCAAGCUCCACCCUGAAUUCCCCUCUACUCCCAGAAGCUCCAUCCCAGCUGGCAGGCUCACAGCACUGCAGCCCAGCAUUUGCAGCGCUACUCUCCCUAGGCUGACGACUGCCACAUCCUUCCCGAGGCCGACUUUCCUCUGAGAUUCAGAUGUGUGUCACCAACUAGAGAGCAGACUUGGAAUUCAAAAAAAAAAUCUUUCAUGGAGGGGCUUCUUCUAUAUGCCUCUUUCUGCUUGCUUUGACUUUGGUCGUAUGGAAGAGGGAUGAGGCAGGACUUCCAGGAGAUCCUUCAAUCAACCCCUGAUUGUUAAUACUUGAAUUAAAAGGAGGAAGGUCAUUAGACAGAAACUGUUGCUAAAAGUGACAAGCAACUUAGCAAUGCACAUUAGGAGCAAAAAUUAUAAUUUAUGCUAUAUAUUUUUCUAUGCAGGCAAACUUGAGAUAGAAGGAAAAACAAAUGGCUUAAAAUAAAACAAAAUCCUUGAAAAGUG